UGAUGCAGGUUCGGGUUUUCGUUUCCCGCUGACACAAACUGAGCCCAGUAACUAACUGGGAGAGAGAGGAGACGCUCCACCACCUGGGGGAGGGGGGGGGAGAGAGAGGAGGGAGGAUUAUUUCAGAGUGUUGCCUCAUCCUCUUAUGUUGGAGCCUUCAGUAAAACAGGGAGAAUUACUACUAAAUCUUCAGUAAAGUCAAUAUUUGUAUUCCGCUUUACAGAUGUUUGUCUGCCACAAAGAAUUCUGGGAACUGUAGUUCAGAACCACAUGUUUAAAGUUUACAACACAGGGGAGUUAAAUGACUGAUCUUGCUGGAGAACCCCCCCUACCUUGGGCUGUCUCUUGGUGUCCUGCAGGAUGGUCAUGGGGUCGGGGUUCGGGACGGCGUGACCCACGAUGGUCGGACCGAAGACUCGAGCCAGAUUAGUGAUGUCCAUCCUCGUGUCCAAGCUGUCUGCGACUCUGGAGACAUUUCAAAGAGUCAAGAGUCUUAAUAAAAACACAGUGUGUGUCUCUGCGGCGGCGUAUAGAAGGACGUCGUGUUUAUAAGCAUGUGUAAUCCCCGUUGCAGCGGAACAGGAAUAGAAUGCUGGGUUUCUGCAGAGUGACUUGAAGCAUGCUUUAUAAAUCAGCUGCUUCAAGACGUGCGCGGCUCUGAUUGGUUCAUCAGUGUUACCUCUGCAGGUGCAGGACCAGGAAGGCCAGCGUGUCUCUGUUGGCCGGCGGCAGAUCUCCCACCGUCUGGUACAUCAGAGCGACGCUGUUAUCAUCGUCGGACACCUCUGAGGAGACACGGAGAAAUAACCGUCCAUGAAGGGCCGGUUGAGGCGGAAGGUGAGCAGCGGCUCCUUCAGGUUCCUCAGGAAGUCCUUGAGGAGGCCGGUAAUGGCGUUGAUGUCGUCCACCCUGCUGAGCACCGGGACCGUCUUGCUGCGCAGGAACUUCUCCUUCAGGUCCUUCACGGUGCGGUCGGCGCCGGACAGACGGCGCAGCGUCCUCACAGCGGAGGAGUCCCAGUCCUGCAACAGAGCGACAGCACAGUCAGAUUUUCAAAAUAAAAGCACACGAUUCUCCACUGAGGGAAGUGAACAGGGGGAGCGCUCACCAGAGAGUCGUCCGUUUUGUCGUAGCUGAUGUCCGACAGGAUGGAGGCGGACUCAUCGAUCGUGGGCGGCGGGUGGCUGGCAGUUUGUGUUGAGGAAGGCGAGGGCGGAGCGCUGCUCUGCACUCAGCUGGAUGCUGUUGGAGGAUCCCUCGCUGGUCAGCAGGUCCCGGAUCAGCUGGAUCUGACGGUCCUGGUAGAGAGGGAACACACGAAUGAGAAACUGCCUGAACCAGAUCAAAAUACAGAGAAGACUGAAACAAAGUCAGGGGUUUUAAACACUAGAAUCUUCUGAAAACCGGAAAUGAACUCCUUCCCCAUUGUAAACUGAGACCCCCGCAGAGCCAUCAGCUCCUGCAGUGACUCCUGAUUGGAGGACGCUUUAAUAAUCCUUCCAGCCUACCAGCUUCUCGCAGUCCGCCUCGGCCCUCUGUCUGCGUCUGAUCUCCACGUCCACCUGGUUGCGGGCGUGUUUCAGUUUGACCUCCAGCGCCCCCCGCUCCGUUUCAGCCUUGGUGAGAACCUCCUGGCAGGAACCCAGAUCCAGCUCCGCUCGCUGCCACCGGCGCCGGCAGUCCUCAAAGUUCUGAGCCAUCUGGAUGAAGUCUGGGAUGAGAGGAGGAGGAGGAGGACCGUUAAUAAUGUGGCAGGCAUCUGUGCAGGAGUGUAAGGAGGCAUGUGUUUCGCAUUAAAGAGUAAGAGAUGAAGGCAAUACUCACUGGGUUCGAUGUUGUCAUUGAGGAGGUCAACCUGCGACCUCAGCUUAUCAUACAAGCUCUGCAGGUUCAGCACCGCAGUCUGCAUCAUGGCCUCUAUCUGAAGACCCUGGAAGUGCAUUUAAUUGAUAGGAGAACAAGUUCUGUGUUAUAUUGACCAUGGCUGCUGGUCACUGCUUCUCAGUUAGACGUCUGGCAAUAAUUAUUUCUGUGUCAUCAAGACUGUUUCUGAGUUUGUGUCCGGUUGUUUAUUUAAAGCCUCAGAGACCUGGGCGCCUAUUAGUGGAAAAAUGCAGUCAUACUCAAGAAGAUUAACAUAUGAACAGAGUAGAAGAGAAAGGAAACUGUUACAUGAGGCUGCAAAUGGAUCACAUUUGAAUAUUUAGGAUGUUAUUAUUCACGGACCUCUUUAUUCUAUUUGUGUUAUGCCUUUUCAUCUUUGGAAAAAAAAUCUGACUUUUAUUUCAUUGUUUUUUAUGCAUUAUUCAUAUAUUUUUUAAAUGUAUUUGGACUUUUAUGAUUUAUUCUAAAUAUCCCAUGUAUUUGGCAUUCUAUCCCCGUUUCAUUUUGUAGUUUAAAAGCAGCUUUUCUGAGGUACUUUACUUGAAGUACAUCAGAAAUGGUACAGUACUUGAGUAAAUCUACUACAAGAAUAAAAAAAGGUUAUGGUUCUUAUAGAUAGCGGAAAUGUAAUGCAUGUUUUAAUUGUAGUUGGUGUUAAAUGAGGACAUCUGGCAAAUAAGAGGAAGUGGAGAUGAUCUGAACACUCAAUGUAAACGGAAAAAAUGCAUCAAAAUCUCAAUUAGCCUCAUUAAACCACAUGCUCUCUUAAAUACCUACCUAACCUCGUUUGGUUCAGCUGUUUUCUUUUGUUUAUAUCCAAACUAAUGCUCAU